UUGACAAGCAAACCCUGCACUAUGAAAUCACUUUCUCUUGUCACCUUGGGCCUCAAAUAGCCAGAGUUGUGCUCAUUGUUUCAUCUAGGGGGGCUUUUUUACAGCAAAAUAGAACCACUUAAGCAUUAACUACACUCAAAAGACACAGAGUUGCAACUCUCAAACUAGUGAUUUCCAGAAUGUACCCUCCCCCCAUCUAAUGUUGAACCACAAUUGCUUUUCAUGUAAAUACUAUCUGAUUGUAUUAAAAAAAGAGAGUGGUUCUCCCCUCUAACCCUCUCCCAAAAGAGAGAGCUGCCCAUUAUUUAGGGUUUUUUUUUUUCUUUCCUUCCCUCCUUAUCGUUUUUUAGAACAAAAGAAUAAUCUUUUCAUCUGGGAGGGCUUCAGGCAGAACAGUUUUGAGAUGUCAGCCAACCAAGAGAAAUAUGACAUUACCAUUCUUUGAAAUCUUGUUCUGAAACUGUGGUUUUGGUACCCAGAUCAACCGGGCACUUGGCAAUGAAAAAGCUAAAACAAAACAUUACUGAAAAUAGUCCUACAAUGGUAUGGUGUUUCUAGGAUAAUCGUUUGUUAUAUUUUAACAAACAAAAGUCACUUAAACCUUUCAUUCUAUUUUCAUGGCUGCACAGGAACAGACAUGAAACAUUUCACAAAGCUGGCCACGAGCUGCCUGUUACAGGGGCAAGAAGCAAUCAUGGAAAAAACUUCAGCAAUGGCAACAUUUUUCUAUACAGUCUGAGUCACUGCAGCCCAGAGGCUCAAGCUUGGGAGAACCAGGAUGGCUUUUCCCCGGAGAAGAUAUUCAACAAUGGGCAUUUGAGUCCUGGAAGAAAAAGAAGAAAGUAGCAGACAUGGACUGGCUGUGUCUCGAUCAGAUGUAACAUGGUGAUCAAGUUUGCUUUUCAUUUUUUAAAAGAGAAAUGUUCAGGAUGCCUGGGUGGCUCAGUUGGUUAAGCAUCUGCCUUUGGCUCAGGUCAUGAUCUGGGGGUCCUGGGAUCAAGUCCCGCAUUGGUCUCUCUACUCAGCGGGGAGUCGGUCUCUCCUUCUCCCUCUGUGCUUGCACCUUCUUUCUCUCUCAAAUAAAUAAAAUCUUUUAAAAAGUAAUAAUCA
rnacentral:lncRNA from 1 species